rnacentral:rRNA from 1 species
AUGGCUAUAUCAUGUUGAAACACUGGUUCUUAUAUGAUCACCAAAGUUAAGCAAUGCCGAAUCUGGUAAAUACCUAGAUGGGUGACUGAUUGGGAAUACCAGGUGCUGUAAG